GGAAUGUAUUUUGUAUAGCGUGUAUAUAUUGUAGAUUAUCUAUAUAGUUGCAGAUACAUCAUAGCACAAAUGUUUUUACUUGUUUAACAAAGUCCAGAGCCCUGCCUUUUACAGUGGUGCAGGCUUCCACUUCCAGCCUUGUGACCUUCUUCCCUGGUUGCUCUGGAGCCUGUCCUGGAGCCAGAUUUUCCCUUUGCUUUCACACCACUGUUCUCUGAACCUUACUCCUGCAAGCCUUGGUGGGAUCAGGGGUCUCUUCAGAGCUGAGCGACAGUGGCACAUGCCUCAUUCUUGCCUUCCCUAAAAAGUCACUCUAGAAGUGAAGUGUUGAUGUGUGCCACUGCCACCAGUACACCCUGCUCCAACCCCUGCUUGUGGAUUUAGUUAAUGCCAAUUCAUGAGGCAAGCAGCCAUCACCUCUCAUUGAGUGGAUCACAUCUUCAUUACCCAUCACCUCGUUCUCAGGCCCUGAAGGUUCUGUGACCCCAGAAGAAAACCCAGAUAAAUAUUUUUUUUUCCUCCCUCCCAUCCUCAAGGUUCCUGGGCACAAGGUGACUACUCCCCUCCUUUCUGUCUUGGAGGGUCCCAGGCCCCCAUGGAAGAGGGAGGCGAAGUGCAGAAGCCCAUGGUCUAGAGAUCCAACCAGUUAUGAGGCAUAAGGGGGGACCUGAACCAGAGCUGCUGCUGGACAGACAGUGAAACCCAUCAACCUCCAGUAGCCGGGAUACUUCUGCCAUUGUUUGCAUCCUCUGAGGAUGGAGGGAGUGACUUCUUCUUUUAUAUGUUUUGAGAGUCUUAUUAUAGUUGCUAUAUUGAUAGAGCAAAGCAUGGACUAAGAUUUGACUUGAGAUCUGCACAGGGUUCAAGUCAUUAAAUUUAUUAUAAAUUCUGUAUUGCACUACUUACAGCUUGUACAAUGUUAAUUUGUUUUGUAGAAAUCCCAUGGCAUUUUAAUAAUAAUGAUUGAUGUGCUAUACUAAUGACAAUAUCCUAUCAAAAAUGCUUUCAUUGCAACCACAAUAUAGCACCAUCAUCAUUUUGCCAAAGACUAGCUCUUCCCUUAGUGUCAGAUGAAAGCCAUCCACUAUGAAUCCUGCUAAUAAGAGCAAAUAUCUAUGUGUGGGGACAUGCUUGGGGGCACAACAUGUAAUCUGAGCAGGGAAUUCAGCAAGUCUCUAUGAUUUGCCUAUUCUGUACAAUUUCUUUUAUUUUUUGCCUUCUUUUACAUUUUCUUACAAGUACAGCUCAGCACAGGCCUACAAAAGUCAGACAUGAGUAUCCACAAUCACACCUCAUUUGUCACCACAACCAUACUGGGUCUGGCUGGGAUGGGCCCCGUUUUUCCACAGCAGCCCUGUGGUACCCUGGUACAGAUUGGUGACCAAAGCAGUGUGGAUUACACACCAGCAUGAUGCCUGUGGGGGAACUUGCAGAGCCUCAAGGCCUUCUCCACUCCUCACGCUGGUGAGCAGGCUGUGGGUGAGCCAGAGUCUGGGAGGGGGCACAGCUACAAUUAUGGAGCUCAGCUGACUAAAGGCAUAACUCAUGCCAUUAAGGUUCUAUGUGCAGCAAUAAAACUGGGGAGGAGUGGCAGGAUGUGGGUUUAGCUAAAGCAGCCAUCACUCAGAGGCUAGCUGGGCUCUGGUCUGCUGCCAGGAGGUGGUCUGGCAGAUUUGGUGCUCAAAGAGACUAUAAAACAGAGCAGAAGAAAAUAGCAUCAAAGUGGUUUCCAGUGGUUCAGCUGAGGUGCAGAAGAAAAGGCACUAAAACUAACCAAAACAAUGAACAGAAAACAGCAUUGGAGGAGACUGGCCUAUACCAAGAGCAGAGGAAGAACUCAGGGUCUUGGUGAGCAUGGAGAAAAUGACAAGGUCUAAAGACCAAAUAGAAAUUAAGCUGGCUACUGCAGAAAAAGAUAAUAAAGUAUUCCUAUAAAAGCAUUAACAACCAAAGAAGGGCUAAGGAAAUCUUUAUCUCAGUUCAGUUUUGGACCCUUCAUACAAGAAAGAUAUUGAGGUUUAACUCCCCACAGUCCAAUACCUCAGCACCAGACUCUUAGCAUUUGACAUUUAAAACCCCUGGGAGUCUAUGACAAGAGCUUCCAGCAAAGCUGCAAACAUCAGAUACACUUACCAAGAAAUAAAAAAAUGUGUAUGUGUACUAGGGCAGUAGAACAAUUCAAUAUAAAAUUUAUGUACAAAUAUGAGCUAAAUCCUUCAACUUCUGCAAUACAAUGUGGUAAUUUUUUUGUUAUCUAAAAAGAAUGCUGCAGAGACAGGAAUGUUUCCCACCAGGCUGAACUGACAGAUCUUCAGACCAGAAUCCAGGCAAGGACCAGGGAGCACAGAGAAUUAAACACCAAAGCCUUCACCAUUUUCUGUUCCCAUGGCUUUAAAUUCUGUCAAAAUGGAGGCAAUUUUCACAGAGCUGUUGGAAGUCACCUGUAACUCUUCAGAAGCAUUUUGGGUGCACAAGCUACAGCACAUACAGUAAGAUUAGUUCUGCAAUUUUCCUUCUGCUCUUUCCCCCAUCUCAUCCUGUUAAAUGCAGUUGAGUGGGUUUGCUUCCAAUAAUCUGAUGCAUAAAGCAAGUGAAUUGAUCCAGUGCAUUAAUUGUAUUGUAUGCCUUUUGUGUAGUAUUUGGGUGUAAACUUGGUAUAAUUACAUAGCCCCAGACUUGGGGUCUAAGAACCUAAUUGUAAAAUAAUGUGAUUAUCUGAUAUUACAUUUAAAAAAUUUCUUUACCAAACACUGUAAAUUCAUUUCCACUGUUAUAACAUAAUUCUGAAAAUUCAACUCUAAUGAGGAACUUGUCUGAGAAUAAGCAGCUGAAGUGAAUACUCACCACAAGAGUUUAUAUACUCUAUUUUUGUAUUCAUCACUGAAAGCUGUACAGGUGAAAUUCUGCUUUACAGAAUUGCUUCACAGAAGCAAUAGAAAGUUACCGGGUUAAAAAAAAAAAAAAAAUUAGAUUUAUUCUCAGAGAAAAAAAAAAAAAAUCCUUUCUGACAACUGUCUUAACUGGACUGAAAAAAAUCACUUUAUAAUACAUCAUUGUAUUAUGAUAAAUA